rnacentral:rRNA from 1 species
CUAAAUCAAGGGUUGGUGCAUACCUUACACCGAAAUCUCCGGAUCUUUUCUCUGGUUGUUAAGAACUUAAAGUGGGUAAUUGUAAAUACCAGAGGGAUGGGGUGAUAAAUUAAUCGUCGGGGAGUAUAGCUGUUUUAGGGAGAAGUUUUCUGUUAAGGAUGCGGGUGAAGAGAUCCUCGUCCUGUUUAUAUUCCAAGUCAUAGCUUAUUCAACUAGGGUUAGGGUUACCCCUGUUUUGGGUGUGUGUUAAAAUUUCUGACAAGGGGUGAGUAAGAAUUAAAUCUAAUAUCCCUAUAAUUUAACUUUUUCGGUUAUUUAUGAAUUAAUUAGUAAUUAUAAUAGUGCAAAUCUAUCUCGGGAAUAGCCCAACUGUUUAUUAAAAACAUUUCUGCCCGUAUUUAUGGUCAGUACGACCUGCCCGGUGUUGUUACAUUAACGGCCGCAGUAUUAUGACUGUGCGAAGGUAGCAUAAUUAAUUGCCCCAUAAUUGGGGGCUUGUCUGAAUGGUUUCAUGCGGCUAAAACUAAGAUUUGUGUUUUAUGUGAAGUUAAUAUUGCGGGUAAAGAAUCCGCAGUGUAUAGUAAGACGGAAAGACCCCAGGAUCUUUUGUUUUGUCUGGGGCAGAUUACAUUAUUUUAAUGUAUUUGGGACCCUUAGAUUAGAGAGUUAAGUUACCCUGGGGAUAACAGAGUAAUAGUUUAUAAGAGACCAUAUCGAUUAAACUGUUUGCUACCUCGAUGUUGACUUGGGUGAGCUUAUCGGCGCAGUAGUUGAUAAGCAAGGUCUGUUCGACCAAAAUACCCUCAUGAGUUGAGUUAAGACCGGCGUGA